AAAUAAUUAAAAUGGCCUUAUUACAGCCCAAAACCAAACAAUAAUAUUAAUAAGAUAAAACUUAUAAAGAAAUAAAUUAGCUACUUAUUGCAAUUAAAAGAAACAGAAACAGUAGUGUGGCCAUCUCCGAGUCCCUCGCAGCUCCAAACCAUCUAAGCUUAGGGAUUACCUGCACAGUUAGAAAUGGGGUGAAUUUACGAAAACUCAGUGUGUAAUCCUAAUAACAAACAAACAGUGAAAACACAGUAUCAGUACAAUCUGGGCUAAAGCCCUAUUUAGUCUUGACAUAUACUGGGCCGAAGCCUUUCGUUUAACGGUUACUGGGCCGAAGCCUUUACUGUAAACGGUAUAGCUCUUAGGCCCAUUUCAAUAUCACAUGUAAUGUCAAUGGAUGUAUGCAAGCCCAUUUCAAUAUCACAUGAAAUACCAAUGAAUGUAUGCAAGCCCAUUUGGAGAGACUACUCAAUCCUCCAUCCGCUACUCUCCACCCGUACCAACCAACACACCAUGUGGGGAAUAACUCAACCCACCCAACCAACACACCACUGGCAGCAUAGCUACUUUAUCAUAUAUCUGAAGGCCUAGCCUCUUUAAUAACUGGGGCAAAGCCCUUUUCAAUAAACUGGGGCAUAAGCCCUUUUCGGUAAACAAGGGCAUAAGCCCUUUUCAAUAAACUGGGGCAUAAGCCCUUUUGCACUUCCUCCAUCCAUAUAAAAACCCAACCCAAUGCAACAUGUCAUGUGUGCAGAAUGUCAUGCCCAUAUUUGAAUAAACAAUCACAGUCAAGUCAUUCAUAUCACCAACAUAUAUUCACAAUCAAAUCCAUCAACCACACAUUCCAAGUCAGUCACUUGCCCACAAGGGCAAAACAAUUAUUUUUCAUAUUAUAAGGGUAUUUUCGUAAUUUUACCAAAUAUCAGUGUUUUCCAUGUUCAUUACAAUUAUCAAUAUUUUCGAGUGUUUAAACAAUGAUCUUUAACCCGCUUUAUCAAAUUCGGGCUUUUGGGCCCAAAACCCCUAAUGGGCCCUACGAAUGCUGAUUUAGCUUACUUAACCCAAAUUUUACAACAAUACUAACCGUGUUAACGUGCAACUUUUCAAAAUUCCAUUUUCUAUCAAUUCUACCCAAAUGGGUCCGAAAGCCCAUUGGGCCCAAUUUUAGCCCAUUGAGGCCCAACUUACCAUCGUGCACAAAAUCGAGUUCUUACCUGUUCCAUCGAUCCAAAAACUGAUCUUAUCGUAUUUAUCGCAUCUAUACCCAAACGCAACAUUACAAGUCCCCGAAAUAUUGGUAUUUUAGCAUUUCGGCUUCUCAGCAAAUAUUAAUCUAAGCUAUUACGAGGGUUAGUACACACCUGUUACGGGUUGAAGUUGAAACGUUUCCAAAAUCAAUCGCCUACGAUAACCACCACCUGUCACUCAAACUUAACUAAUCCAAUAUCAAUAUAUGUAAAUCCUAAGCACAUCAGUCAUACGAAACAUAAGGGCAUAUUCGUCAUUUUACCAUACAGGGGUAUUACGGUCACUUUACCCUACAGGGGCUUUACGGUCUUUUUACCUAUUAGGGGUAUUUUAGUCCUUUUAUCCUACAAGGGUGUUUUGGUAAAUCUACAAACCAAGGGUAUUUCAGUAAUUUUGUAAACCAAUGGUAUUUCUAUAAUUUUUAAAAAGUCAAGUGUAUUUUUGUAAUUUUAUAAAUCAGGGGUAUUUUGGUAAUUUUACAAAUUGAGGGUAUUUCAGUAAUUUCACAAACCAGUGGUAUUUUGGUAAUUUUACAAGCUAGGGCCAUUUUGGUAAUUUUACAAACUAGGGGUAUUUUGGUAAUUCUAUCUUACAGGGGUAUUUCAGUAAUUUCACAAUCGAGGGUAAAACGGUAAUUUUUUAAACUGAGGGUAAAAUGGUAAUUUUGUAAAUCGAGGGUAAAACGGUAAUUUUGUAAAUCGAGGGUAAAAUGGUAUUCUAUAAAUUGAGGGUAAAACGGUAAUUUUGUAAAUCGAGGGUGAAACGGUAAUUCUAUAAAUCGAGGGUAAAAUGGUAAUUCUACAAAUCGAGGGUAUUUCAGUAAUUUGGUAAACUAAAGUAUUCUAAACACGGAUAACAAUAUGAAUGGGCCUAAAGCCUAUUCUCAGCCCAAAUGGGCCCACACGCUCGUGCGGCCCUUUUAGCCCAAAUCUAGCCACAAAUAUGAGAUUGACCUAGCCUAGUCCAAUAUUUACUACCCAAUCAAACAACUUAUCCAAUUGGGCCCGUAGGCCCAUUAGGCCAACAUGACCCCUUUCGGCCCAUCACGGCCCGAAGUAGCCAUCUUACAGCUAGAGUAGUGAGAAAUACACACCUGAUUGGCGACUGGAGUUAAUCCAAGCUCCGAGCACUCUUAGUCGACGCCCAACCCAAACGAGCACGCCAUACAGCGAAAGGGAUCAGCCAAGAAAGGUACCUUUACUCUCCUCAUGGUUCCCUCUAUUUAAAGCCAGCUGCGCAUCCACUCUUAUGUUAGCUUCCCGAUGUGGGAUCCCUCCAACAUCAGAGUUUAAAUUCAACACCAACUCUUGCCGCCCCCUGUUAGCAAAAUAAAUGCUUCUUGCUUGCCAUGGGAUUCGAACCCAUGCCUCCCCUCAGAUGCUCCACACGCUUCUUGCCACUAAGCCACAAGGCUUUUUGUGUCAUAUUUUAUCCCCAAUUACUCGAACCUUGGACCUUCAAUUCCUUCCCAUGCGCCAUUUUUUUAGAAAUCUAGUGGCACCACCUUCCCACUUUACCAAAGCCUUAUUUGUGUCAUGACUUACGAAGUUCUUCUUAAAGCCCACUUAACCCAGUCUCCUAUUCGCUUAAAAUCCAACCUUGAUAUUUUACCAUGUUUAACCUAGGCUUGGGCCUUCUAAAGUCCUACUAACACAUUUAAACACAAUUCCAAUAUUCAGAACACCAGAAUUAAAAAAUUUACCAAAAGUCACAGAAACCCAAAAAAAAAUCCCGAAAAUCAGGGCGUUACAGUCAUACAUUUUCAGUUUUAACAUAAAAAAUCCUACCCUACCGCUCCACUCCACAAUGGGAGUUCCCCAAAACUCCAACCACCAAUACACUAGAUUGUGAAUAACCACCAAUGGUUUGCAAAAUAACUACCAAUGGAUGUGGACACACAACAAAAACACCGAAAAUGGAAUAUGUGUAUGGCUAUAGGUAGACAGCAAAAUGAUACAAGUAAAAUCUACCAAUGGCUAUGGACGCACAACAUGUUUGCAUGUAAUAGUUACUAAAGUGUUGUGGAUGCACAACAAAAACAUCGCAGCUGGAAUCUGCCUAUGGCUGUGGGUACAAAGCAAAAUAAAUGCAGAUAAACUGUCAAUACUUCCUCUAUUCAUAAUAUCCCACCUCAUGCAAUGCAAUAUGGCAUGCUCAACAAAUCAAUACAGUAUCAUUUAAUAUGCUUUUAGCAUAGCAAUAUAGUAGUAAACAAUAUGCUCAUAAUGGUUCGAUUUAGUAGCAAUUAAUAUGCUUAUGAUAGUUCAAUUUGGUAGCAAAAAUUAUGGUAUUUAUGUGUUCGAUUUAACGGUGACAUACGUCAUACUAUACAAACAAUAACAAACUUUGAAACAAUAAACGUAUGUGUUGUUCACAAUUAUGAAAAUAUAUAUACAUAUCAUAUUAAACCAGUCCAUCAAAUUAUAGAUUCUAACAUAAUUCAUACUAUUAUGGGCUCAAUUGAAUAAAUUAAAGUGCUAAAAAUAGUUUGAAAAUAAUUCAGGGACUAAAUUGAUCAAAUCUUAAAUUUUUUGGGCAAAACUAUAACACCCCUACCCGUAUUCAAUGCUAGAACAGGGUUACGAGGCAUUAUCGGACUUACAUCAUAAACAUUCAUACAAUUCGAGUCAAAAUUUUCCAUCCAAAUUAAAACCAUUCACAUUCAAUCAUAAUGUCCCUGAGCCGAUAAAUUUGGAAACUUUUAGAAAACUUAGAAAAUUUUCGCAUGUACAGGGAUCAUACACCCGUGUGGCAUAGAGACAUGCCCUUGUGGGCAGGCCAUGUGGUCACACAUGCCCGUGUCCCGACCCUGUGUAACUCUCUAUUUUGCAAAGCAUGAACAAAUGGAAGUCACACGGCCAAGUCACACGCCUGUGUGCUAGGCCAUGUGGUUAAUUUAAUUUUCAUAAAAUUGGUGCAGACUUUAUACAGCUGAGACAAAUGCUUGUGUCCAAGUACAUGUCUCUCACAUGGUCGAGGCAUACGCCCAUGUCUCUAUCUGUGUGCUUAAUUUUGAGCAUUCUAUUUCUCAAAAUUAAGGUGCAGGGGACACACGGCCAAAACAUAUGCCCAUGGGACAGACCAUGUGUCAUUCACAGCCUAGACACACGCCCGUGUGUCUACCCGUGUAGACAAAAUAAAGGCUAUCUACCAAGCUUUUUUGCCACCCUCAUUUGCACAAACACAUACACAAUUUCAAUCAUACAAUCAUGGCAUGAUGGAGCAACUAAAGCAUCCACAACAAAUAUUAAAACAAUUCAUUUCAACAUCAAAAUCUAGCAUGCUUAAGUUAACAUACUUUAUAAAAUCUAAUCGUAUCAAAUUCACAAUCAACAACCUUCAAUAUAUGUAACACCCCAAACCCAGCCCAGACGUUAUGGCCGAAUCUGAUGUGCCACAUUAAAGUUAAAAACCCAUGUUUCAUUUUAGUGCUUUAAAAACUGACUUUUGUUAAGCUAAUAAAGUGCAUGGGAGCUGGGCACCAGGUAGGAAUCCGUAACAGAGGAGGUGAGCCAUGAAGGCUGCUUAAGUACCAAGCUCUUCUAAUGGAUCCAAUCCUAGACAUGCCCACAACCAUUGCCACACUUGGUUAAAUCGAGUUGUAAUUUAUUUAAGUUGAAAUCUUUGACAAAUCGGAUAAUCGUGGCGUGGUGUUAUUUUGGAAACAAUUAUCAUUUUGAAAACACGUCCUAGGUCUAGCCCAUUUAUUAACAAACAGAUUAAAGUUAUUAAAAAUAAAAUAAUCCUAGAAAAAUAAUUAAAAUGGCCUUAUUACAGCCCAAAACCAAACAAUAAUAUUAAUAAGAUAAAACUUAUAAAGAAAUAAAUUAGCUACUUAUUGCAAUUAAAAGAAACAGAAACAGUAGUGUGGCCAUCUCCGAGUCCCUCGCAGCUCCAAACCAUCUAAGCUUAGGGAUUACCUGCACAGUUAGAAAUGGGGUGAAUUUACGAAAACUCAGUGUGUAAUCCUAAUAACAAACAAACAGUGAAAACACAGUAUCAGUACAAUCUGGGCUAAAGCCCUAUUUAGUCUUGACAUAUACUGGGCCGAAGCCUUUCGUUUAACGGUUACUGGGCCGAAGCCUUUACUGUAAACGGUAUAGCUCUUAGGCCCAUUUCAAUAUCACAUGUAAUGUCAAUGGAUGUAUGCAAGCCCAUUUCAAUAUCACAUGAAAUACCAAUGAAUGUAUGCAAGCCCAUUUGGAGAGACUACUCAAUCCUCCAUCCGCUACUCUCCACCCGUACCAACCAACACACCAUGUGGGGAAUAACUCAACCCACCCAACCAACACACCACUGGCAGCAUAGCUACUUUAUCAUAUAUCUGAAGGCCUAGCCUCUUUAAUAACUGGGGCAAAGCCCUUUUCAAUAAACUGGGGCAUAAGCCCUUUUCGGUAAACAGGGGCAUAAGCCCUUUUCAAUAAACUGGGGCAUAAGCCCUUUUGCACUUCCUCCAUCCAUAUAAAAACCCAACCCAAUGCAACAUGUCAUGUGUGCAGAAUGUCAUGCCCAUAUUUGAAUAAACAAUCACAGUCAAGUCAUUCAUAUCACCAACAUAUAUUCACAAUCAAAUCCAUCAACCACACAUUCCAAGUCAGUCACUUGCCCACAAGGGCAAAACAAUUAUUUUUCAUAUUAUAAGGGUAUUUUCGUAAUUUUACCAAAUAUCAGUGUUUUCCAUGUUCAUUACAAUUAUCAAUAUUUUCGAGUGUUUAAACAAUGAUCUUUAACCCGCUUUAUCAAAUUCGGGCUUUUGGGCCCAAAACCCCUAAUGGGCCCUACGAAUGCUGAUUUAGCUUACUUAACCCAAAUUUUACAACAAUACUAACCGUGUUAACGUGCAACUUUUCAAAAUUCCAUUUUCUAUCAAUUCUACCCAAAUGGGUCCGAAAGCCCAUUGGGCCCAAUUUUAGCCCAUUGAGGCCCAACUUACCAUCGUGCACAAAAUCGAGUUCUUACCUGUUCCAUCGAUCCAAAAACUGAUCUUAUCGUAUUUAUCGCAUCUAUACCCAAACGCAACAUUACAAGUUCCCGAAAUAUCGGUAUUUUAGCAUUUCGGCUUCUCAGCAAAUAUUAAUCUAAGCUAUUACGAGGGUUAGUACACACCUGUUACGGGUUGAAGUUGAAACGUUUCCAAAAUCAAUCGCCUACGAUAACCACCACCUGUCACUCAAACUUAACUAAUCCAAUAUCAAUAUAUGUAAAUCCUAAGCACAUCAGUCAUACGAAACAUAAGGGCAUAUUCGUCAUUUUACCAUACAGGGGUAUUACGGUCACUUUACCCUACAGGGGCUUUACGGUCUUUUUACCUAUUAGGGGUAUUUUAGUCCUUUUAUCCUACAAGGGUGUUUUGGUAAAUCUACAAACCAAGGGUAUUUCAGUAAUUUUGUAAACCAAUGGUAUUUCUAUAAUUUUUAAAAAGUCAAGUGUAUUUUUGUAAUUUUAUAAAUCAGGGGUAUUUUGGUAAUUUUACAAAUUGAGGGUAUUUCAGUAAUUUCACAAACCAGUGGUAUUUUGGUAAUUUUACAAGCUAGGGCCAUUUUGGUAAUUUUACAAACUAGGGGUAUUUUGGUAAUUCUAUCUUACAGGGGUAUUUCAGUAAUUUCACAAUCGAGGGUAAAACGGUAAUUUUUUAAACUGAGGGUAAAAUGGUAAUUUUGUAAAUCGAGGGUAAAACGGUAAUUUUGUAAAUCGAGGGUAAAAUGGUAUUCUAUAAAUUGAGGGUAAAACGGUAAUUUUGUAAAUCGAGGGUGAAACGGUAAUUCUACAAAUCGAGGGUAUUUCAGUAAUUUGGUAAACUAAAGUAUUCUAAACACGGAUAACAAUAUGAAUGGGCCUAAAGCCUAUUCUCAGCCCAAAUGGGCCCACACGCUCGUGCGGCCCUUUUAGCCCAAAUCUAGCCACAAAUAUGAGAUUGACCUAGCCUAGUCCAAUAUUUACUACCCAAUCAAACAACUUAUCCAAUUGGGCCCGUAGGCCCAUUAGGCCAACAUGACCCCUUUCGGCCCAUCACGGCCCGAAGUAGCCAUCUUACAGCUAGAGUAGUGAGAAAUACACACCUGAUUGGCGACUGGAGUUAAUCCAAGCUCCGAGCACUCUUAGUCGACGCCCAACCCAAACGAGCACGCCAUACAGCGAAA
rnacentral:lncRNA from 1 species